CCUCACAUGGAAAAGAGUCUGAAGAAGAUGUGAAGAGAGUUCAGGUGUGUGUUCUGCCAUGGAUCAGUGUGAGGACAGAGAGGAGGGAGUCCCUCCCUCUAAAAGGACUCUGUGUGGAGAACAUGAGAACCAGACCACAGCUCAGAGGUCAGAGCCUGAAGUUGAACCCAGCUGUGUGUCCCUGAAGAGUGACCGGUCCAAGGACUUCUUGAUACAAUUCAGAACACACUCUGACUCUGAGUUUCCAUCCAGCUGUGUGUCCCUGAAGAGUGACGGGUCCA